UUAUGGCCAUAUCAUUUUGAAACACCAGUUCUCAUACAAUCACUGAAGUUAAGCAAUGUCAAGCCCAGUCAGUACCUAGAUGGGUGACCACUUGGGAAUACCAGGUGCU
rnacentral:rRNA from 1 species